rnacentral:snoRNA from 1 species
UAGAUGAGGAUGAAGCAUAGAAUUACCAUAUUCCAACACUUGAUCUGAGGAUUUCUUUUCGCAAGUAAAGGUUAGCUUCUGAAUCUGU